rnacentral:rRNA from 1 species
UGGGGAAUUUUGCACAAUGGGGGAAACCCUGAUGCAGCGACGCCGCGUGAUUUAGAAGGCCUUCGGGUUGUAAAAAUCUUUUCUAUGGGAAGAAAAUGACAGUACCAUAGGAAUAAGGACCGGCUAAUUACGUGCCAGCAGCCGCGGUAAUACGUAAGGUCCGAGCGUUGUCCGGAAUCAUUGGGCGUAAAGGGUACGUAGGCGGGUAAGAAAGUUAGAAGUGAAAUCCUAUAGCUCAACUAUAGUAAGCUUUUAAAACUGCUCAUCUUGAGGUAUGGAAGGGAAAGUGGAAUUCCUAGUGUAGCGGUGAAAUGCGCAGAUAUUAGGAGGAAUACCGGUGGCGAAGGCGACUUUCUGGCCAUAACCUGACGCUGAGGUACGAAAGCGUGGGAAGCAAACAGG